rnacentral:rRNA from 1 species
UCAAGAUGAGAUUUCCCAACUUCGGUUAUAAGAUCCCUCAAAGAUGAUGAGGUUAAUAGGUUCGAGGUGGAAGCAUGGUGACAUGUGGAGCUGACGAAUACUAAUCGAUCGAAGACUUAAUCAA